AGACCCAGGACAGCUGUCAGCCGGGACAGGCUGCACCUGGGCUCAGAGCUCAGUUGGGUCAGCUGGGCCUGUGCCCCUCCCUCUGACCCGAGGUGAGGGAGAGACAGCCUGGGAUGAAGGCAAGGCAGUCCUCCAGGGUCAGCACCCCUUCUGCAUUCUGCAUGCCUGCUAGCGGUCACUGCUCUGGUGCCUCCCCAAGCCUCUUUUGUCCAUUGGCCCCAGGGUCGCCGGAGUGGAGAUGCUGACACUUUGAUGAGAGUUUCUGGCUUGAGCAGUCACCUGAGUGGUCCAGGAGCCUGGCUGGGAGAAGAUGGAAGCCUACAUUCUAGCUGUAGUUUUGUCUCUGGCUGAUUAAGUGAUGUUGGUUAAGUCUUACCCCUUUCAGCCUCAGCUUCCCCACUCAUGAAAAGUAAUGUAAACUGCUUCUCAGUGAUGCUAUAUUGGCAUUUCAGGGGGGUCAAG